rnacentral:misc_RNA from 3 species
AACGCACAUUGCGCCCUGUGGUAUUCCGCAGGGCAUGCCUGUUCGAGCGUCAUUUAACCACUCACGCCUAGCGUGGUAUUGGGGCACGCGGUCUCCGCGGCCCUCAAAAUUAGUGGCGGCGCCGGUGGGCUCUAAGCGUAGUACAUACUCCCGCUAUAGAGUCCCCCCGGUGGCUCGCCAGAACCCCCAAUUUUUACAGGUUGACCUCGGAUCAGGUAGGGAUACCCGCUGAACUUAA